CGACCGGCGCACGGGUGCGUAACGCGUAUGCAACCUACCCAUAACAGGGGGAUAACACUGAGAAAUUGGUACUAAUACCCCAUAACAUCAGGACCGGCAUCGGUUCUGGUUGAAAACUCCGGUGGUUAUGGAUGGGCAUGCGUUGUAUUAGCUGGUUGGUGAGGUAACGGCUCACCAAGGCGACGAUACAUAGGGGGACUGAGACGGUUAACCCCCCACACUGGUACUGAGACACGGACCAG
rnacentral:rRNA from 1 species